GACGAACGCUGGCGGCGUGCUUAACACAUGCAAGUCGAACGGAAAGGCCCUGCUUUUGUGGGGUGCUCGAGUGGCGAACGGGUGAGUAACACGUGAGUAACCUGCCCUUGACUUUGGGAUAACUUCAGGAAACUGGGGCUAAUACCGGAUAGGAGCUCCUGCUGCAUUGUGGGGGUUGGAAAGUUUCGGCUGUUGGGGAUGGACUCGCGGCUUAUCAGCUUGUUGGUGGGGUAGUGGCUUACCAAGGCUUUGACGGGUAGCCGGCCUGAGAGGGUGACCGGCCACAUUGGGACUGAGAUACGGCCCAGAGUCCUACGGGAGGCAGCAGUGGGGAAUAUUGCACAAUGGGCGGAAGCCUGAUGCAGAAACGCCGCGUGCGGGAUGACGGCCUUCGGGUUGUAAACCGCUUUCGCCUGUGACGAAGCGUGAGUGACGGUAAUGGGUAAAGAAGCACCGGCUAACUACGUG
rnacentral:rRNA from 1 species